AUUGAACGCUGGCGGCAGGCCUAACACAUGCAAGUCGAGCGAGAGGCGGACGGGUGGGUAAUGUCUGGGACACUGCCUGGUGGAGGGGGAUAACUAAUGGAAACGGUAGCUAAUACCGCAUACCAUCGGAUGUGCCCAGAUGGGUUUAGCUUGUAGGUGGGGUAAAGGCUCACCUAGGCGACGAUCCCUAGCUGGUCUGAGAGGAUGACCAGUCACACUGGAACUGAGACACGGUCCAGACUCCUACGGGAGGCAGCAGUGGGGAAUAUUGCACAAUGGGCGCAAGCCUGAUGCAGCCAUGCCGCGUGUGUGAAGAAGGCCUUCGGGUUGUAAAGUACUUUCAGCGAGGAGGCGUUACUAGCAGAAGAAGCACCGGCUAACUCCGUGCCAGCAGCCGCGGUAAUUC
rnacentral:rRNA from 1 species